UGCGCAGGCGGCAUAGUGAGUCAGUGGUGAAAGCCCGGAGCUCAACUCCGGAACUGCCAUUGAUACUGCUAAGCUUGAGUACGGUUGAAGUGGGCGGAAUGUGACAUGUAGCGGUGAAAUGCUUAGAUAUGUCACAGAACACCAAUUGCGAAGGCAGCUCACUAAACCGUUACUGACGCUGAGGCACGAAAGCGUGGGUAGCGAACAGGAUUAGAUACCCUGGUAGUCC
rnacentral:rRNA from 1 species